CUUAAAAUCGACUGCUGUACUCCUCCCCGACGAGGGGAGUAGCACUAAAAUCGACCUUCCUGGGUCGAAUUUGGAAUAGUAUGGCCACAAAUCA